CGGUUGGGUAAGUUCCUGGUAAAAGCUGGCAGCUCAACUGUCAAUCUGCUAGGAAAACUACCCAACUAGAGGGCGGGAGAGGUCAGAGGUACUCCAGGGGUAGGGGUGAAAUCCGAUAAUCCUUGGGGGACCACCAGUGGCGAAAGCGUCUGACUGGAACGCGCCUGACGGUGAGGGACGAAAGCCAGGGGAGCAAACCGGAUUAGAUACCCGGGUAGUCCUGGCCGUAAACGAUGCGCGCGAGGUGUUGGAAAGGCCACGAGCCGUUCCAGUGCCGUAGGAAAACCGAUAAGCGUGCCGCCUGGGGA
rnacentral:rRNA from 1 species